AUCGAAGACCAUCGACAACUGUCGAUCGAAUCGAUCUAAUACGUUCAUCGAUCCCUAGCAUGAAUUGAACAGUUUUUCUAAAUUGAAGAAUUUUCAUUUCAUCAUUCCAAGGUGUUGCUUCGAUGAUGGACCAAUCUAGGAAGAUGAAGACGAAUCGAGUGGAUGGUGGUGGCGGUUGAUCGUCGUGGGGAGGAGGGCGGCUACCGGGCCCACGGCGAUGUGGCUGGCAAGCGGGCGGCCUCGAGGAGGUGAUAACGACUUCUGACCUCGCGUGAGUGACCCUACCGUGGCGUAGAGGGCCUUGCCAUCGAUCGUCAAGUAAAAGGCU